UCUUUUCAUGUCUAGGGUUUCGCAUAGUAAUUUAGAAUUAGGUCUAGAUGCUUAGUUUGAUCUUAUUUUUUGAGUCAUAUGAGGUUCCAGUUAGGUUGGCAGGAUAUUGUUGAACAACCAAAUAUUUGAAGAUUCAUCUCCGUGAGCGAUAGAUUCAAUCUCUGGCGGAGCGUCUGUUAUAUGUUUUGAACGUUUUGCAGGAUCUGUUCUUCUACAUAAGAAAUAGUUUAAUUUUUUAGGGAUGGCUUCGUUCUUUUUAUGUUUUUUCUUAUUUUUCUGCUUUCAGUUGCGAUCGAUAAAUUUUGAGGUGGGAUAGGGUGUAAGCGUCCUCAAUUCUUUUUCUAUGCUACGGGAGGCGUUGCCGUUCUAUUGGAGCACGGCCAAAUCUUUUACUUCGGAGAUGCAUGUGGCCUCUGAGAUGAUCUGUUUGGAAGUUUCCCUUUAUCUUUAUUCAAAAACCGUUUUGUUUGCGCAAUUUCUUGGUUUUAUAAGGAUUAUCUUUAGAUUUCUUUAUUUUUCCUUAAUUUCUUUAUGCAGUAACUAUUUUACCGUGGGAUAGGGUGGCGAUAACCUUGAUUCUGUGUCCAUAUUAGGGAGAAGGAGGCUGAUCCAUCGAAAUUCAACUAGAUCUGAUCUCUUUCGGCAACAUCCUUAACCUCUUGAUGGAUUUGUUUUUUGUUUACUCAUUAAUAGCUAUAUUUGUUUUUGUUUGAUAGUUAUAAUAAUAACUAUAGUCAAUUCGGUAUGUUUUCUUAAUUUUUUUUCUGCAGUUGCGGUAAAUACUUUUUACGGUGGGAUAGGAUAUCAGAGUCCUCGAAUUUGUGUCCAUUUUCUGGUGAAAGAAGCCGAUCCAUUGGAAUCCAACAGAUCUGCUUUCUUUCGGCUAUAUCUUCAGCAUUUUUGACGGAUUUGUUCUAUUUGCCUGAUGUGCUAUGCAUGUGAGAUAUUUUAUCAUAAAUAUCGCAAUCUUGUUUUUUCCUUAAUUUUUAAUCUGCAGUUGAGGAUGGUGUUGUUUUGUGGGAUUCGACAUCAGCAACAUCUAUUUAGCGGUCUCUUUGUGGGGAGUCAGGCCAAUUCAUUAGCGGUUAGCCAGUUUUGUCGCUGCUGUCCAUAAUCACUAUCUCUGAUAUAUUUGAUCUUGCGGUCUCCAUAUUUUAGCACUUCUCCUCCAAUUCUUGGUGUGCUGCUCCUUAAUUUCCUUCCUGCAGUUGAUUAAUUUUUGAAGGACCGUGGCCAAUUUCACAAUGAAAUCUGCAGAAAACUGAGGGAUUCAGUGGCGUAAAGAUAAUUCUGAUUCUGUUGUCUAUCCUUUUCAUUUCUAUUAGCCAACAUUUAUAGUCGCGCUGGCUAAUCAUAACUCUUACGUAGUAGAAAUGUAAACGUAGGGCAUAUUUGAAGAUCUUCAGUGGAGGGAUGUGCUGUCAAGUAUUGAAGGUAAGAAUUGUUAAUUUUUUGUCGGUUGUUUUGUUUUUUCGGCCUAUGCCUUGUUGGGUGAGCUCGCAUGGCAGGCCAAAUAUCGUAAUAAAAUUCUUGUUUUGUUGUUGCGGGAAGAUCGUAUGGGGUGGUUCUCGACCCUGGGUUCUUCCCUUAAUUUGGCUUCCUUGUCUUGUGCUUCGCCGUACGCCUCAAAUGUCAUGUGCAAGCUCGUGAGUCUGUACGUCGACCAGCUUUCCUGCUCAUUACGCCGGUGUGAGGUACAUUUUACCGUACGUUUGUUACUCCUGUCGGAAGGGUCGUAUAAUCGAACAAAUUCAUGGUAGUAUGUCAAAAUAAAGGUACAUGGAAAAACGCUAUUAAAAUCUAUUCUUUUACGUUUGAAAUCGGUUAGAUAUUCUGUAGUCUUCGCGGUUCUGUUAUUUUGCGGGAAAAUUUGUUUUAAUUUGUUUUUCUAUUUUCUACUAAAUGAUUGUCCGUCUUCCAACAUUUUAAUUUUAUCUGUAAUAGAAAUUGUUAUGAUUUUAAGCCGGCCUACACGUGCACGGCCUACUCAAAAACAACUUGAGCAUCUUCUUUAGAAUAACUGUAGAUCCUACAUGUACGAUUCUGCAACCGAAAGAAGGGCGGGGGAUUCAUUGAAGAAUAGAGUUGAAGUUAGCGGUUUGGAUCUGCAGAUGCUGUUGUAUAGUCAUUGGAGGAACAUCUUCUGAUUUACUGAGGACCUACGUUUCAGUUGAAUGUAUCAAGGAUUUUUGCUUGAUCUGUUUUCUUCUGUCUUUCUACGUGCAUGUUAUAUAUCAAUGUUGUUGAGGUUCGUCUUUUUUGUAUAUAUUGGUUGAAUUUUUGCUUCUUUCCUUUGUGUUUGAAUCUACAAAUAAGUUGAAACUUAUGUUAGUGGUAGUGUUUAAUUGGGAUUAUAUUUGUAAGCCCUUUAAUUUUUCGAUAAUUCAAUACGCUGCAUUUUAUUCAA